GACGAACGCUGGCGGCGUGCCUAAUACAUGCAAGUAGAACGCUGAAGGAGGAGCUUGCUUCUCUGGAUGAGUUGCGAACGGGUGAGUAACGCGUAGGUAACCUGCCUGGUAGCGGGGGAUAACUAUUGGAAACGAUAGCUAAUACCGCAUAAGAGUAGAUGUUGCAUGACAUUUGCUUAAAAGGUGCAAUUGCAUCACUACCAGAUGGACCUGCGUUGUAUUAGCUAGUUGGUGGGGUAACGGCUCACCAAGGCGACGAUACAUAGCCGACCUGAGAGGGUGAUCGGCCACACUGGGACUGAGACACGGCCCAGACUCCUACGGGAGGCAGCAGUAGGGAAUCUUCGGCAAUGGACGGAAGUCUGACCGAGCAACGCCGCGUGAGUGAAGAAGGUUUUCGGAUCGUAAAGCUCUGUUGUAAGAGAAGAACGAGUGUGAGAGGGAAAGUUCAC
rnacentral:rRNA from 1 species